UACGGAGGGUGCAAGCGUUAUCCGGAUUCACUGGGUUUAAAGGGUGCGUAGGUGGGUUGGUAAGUCAGUGGUGAAAUCCCCGAGCUUAACUUGGGAACUGCCAUUGAUACUAUUAAUCUUGGAAUACCGUGGAGGUUAGCGGAAUAUGUCAUGUAGCGGUGAAAUGCUUAGAUAUGACAUAGAACACCAAUUGCGAAGGCAGCUGGCACACGAA
rnacentral:rRNA from 1 species